rnacentral:rRNA from 1 species
GACGAACGCUGGCGGCGUGCCUAAUACAUGCAAGUAGAACGCUGAAGAGAGGAGCUUGCUCUUCUUGGAUGAGUUGCGAACGGGUGAGUAACGCGUAGGUAACCUGCCUGAUAGCGGGGGAUAACUAUUGGAAACGAUAGCUAAUACCGCAUAAAAUUGAUUAUUGCAUGAUAAUUAAUUGAAAGAUGCAAUUGCAUCACUACCAGAUGGACCUGCGUUGUAUUAGCUAGUUGGUGAGGUAACGGCUCACCAAGGCGACGAUACAUAGCCGACCUGAGAGGGUGAUCGGCCACACUGGGACUGAGACACGGCCCAGACUCCUACGGGAGGCAGCAGUAGGGAAUCUUCGGCAAUGGGGGGAACCCUGACCGAGCAACGCCGCGUGAGUGAAGAAGGUUUUCGGAUCGUAAAGCUCUGUUGUAAGAGAAGAACGGGUGUGAGAGUGGAAAGUUCACACUGUGACGGUAUCUUACCAGAAAGGGACGGCUAACUACGUGCCAGCAGCCGCGGUAAUACGUAGGUCCCGAGCGUUGUCCGGAUUUAUUGGGCGUAAAGCGAGCGCAGGCGGUUAGAUAAGUCUGAAGUUAAAGGCUGUGGCUUAACCAUAGUAUGCUUUGGAAACUGUUUAACUUGAGUGCAGAAGGGGAGAGUGGAAUUCCAUGUGUAGCGGUGAAAUGCGUAGAUAUAUGGAGGAACACCGGUGGCGAAAGCGGCUCUCUGGUCUGUAACUGACGCUGAGGCUCGAAAGCGUGGGGAGCAAACAGGAUUAGAUACCCUGGUAGUCCACGCCGUAAACGAUGAGUGCUAGGUGUUAGGCCCUUUCCGGGGCUUAGUGCCGCAGCUAACGCAUUAAGCACUCCGCCUGGGGAGUACGACCGCAAGGUUGAAACUCAAAGGAAUUGACGGGGGCCCGCACAAGCGGUGGAGCAUGUGGUUUAAUUCGAAGCAACGCGAAGAGCCUUACCAGGUCUUGACAUCCCUCUGACCGCUCUAGAGAUAGAGUUUUCCUUCGGGACAGAGGUGACAGGUGGUGCAUGGUUGUCGUCAGCUCGUGUCGUGAGAUGUAGGGUUAAGUCCCGCAACGAGCGCAACCCCUAUUGUUAGUUGCCAUCAUUGAGUUGGGCACUCUAGCGAGACUGCCGGUAAUAAACCGGAGGAAGGUGGGGAUGACGUCAAAUCAUCAUGCCCCUUAUGACCUGGGCUACACACGUGCUACAAUGGCUGGUACAACGAGUCGCAAGCCGGUGACGGCAAGCUAAUCUCUGAAAGCCAGUCUCAGUUCGGAUUGUAGGCUGCAACUCGCCUACAUGAAGUCGGAAUCGCUAGUAAUCGCGGAUCAGCACGCCGCGGUGAAUACGUUCCCGGGCCU